rnacentral:tRNA from 1 species
CGGGUGUAGUUUAGUGGUAAAACACUAGCUUCCCAAGCUGGAGUCGCGAGUCCGAUUCUCGUCACCC